CGGCGGACGGGUGAGUAACACGUGGAUAACCUACCUAUAAGACUGGGAUAACUUCGGGAAACCGGAGCUAAUACCGGAUAAUAUUUUGAACCGCAUGGUUCAAAAGUGAAAGACGGUCUUGCUGUCACUUAUAGAUGGAUCCGCGCUGCAUUAGCUAGUUGGUAAGGUAACGGCUUACCAAGGCAACGAUGCAUAGCCGACCUAAGAGGGUGAUCGGCCACACUGGAACUGAGACACGGUCCAG
rnacentral:rRNA from 1 species